UCAACGCGACAUUUAUGUGUUGUUAAAAUAUACGGGGCGACAAUAAAAAUAAAAAAAAUAAAAAAGUCAUUAUUGAUUUAUAUUAUUGACGCGAAACAUAUUAAGAGCAAUUUUCGGUAUAAACCUCUACAUAAAUUGAAUUUUGACGGUGAUUAGUUUAUGUAUGCUAGCUAGAGAUGAGUCUGUAUUUGCACUAAAAUCACAAUCUAUAUA